rnacentral:snoRNA from 1 species
AGGGAUUCAUGGCUAAAUCCUUGAGACCCUGGUCUGAUCUCAAUCCUUUUAUGAAAUUUUCCCCCGCGAGGAGGAGGCUCUGUGUUCUCUCCUGAGGGUGAAGCGGCUCUUGGUGUUGCUUUAGUGCAAUUGCCAUUUGCCAUUGAUGAUCGUUCUUUUCUUCCUUUGGGGGAAUAAGAGGGAGAGAACGCAGUCUGAGUGGU